UUGCAGCUGUGGGAAUCUCGAACUGAGAGCUCUCUAAAAUCUCGCGAUAUUUGUCACGACUCCGCGUUUCAUCCAACAGCUGAUCAGUAGACGGAAAAGAGCUGAGAAGAUACACAAUUUAAAGAAGAAUAAAUAUAUUUAUGCUUUUGUACAGAUUAUUUAUUUAAAAAAUAUGGCAGAGAUAGACCCGAAAUCGGCGCAGGAUCUCACAGCAGUGGUACAGACAUUGCUGCAGCAGAUGCAGGAUAAAUUCCAGACAAUGUCAGACCAGAUCAUCGGGAGAAAUAUCCUUUCUUGUUUUAGAAUAGCUGUAUAAUUAAUUUUUCAGUGAAGCGGACGUAGUCCCAGAGAUAAUGCCCCAAAUUUUACACAUAGUCCAUGUGAAACAUGAGAGCAAAAUGCCCUACUCUGAGAAAGAGGGUUUCUGCAGGUCUUAAAGUAUUAAUACGCACGUCCACAAAUUAAAGAAAAAAUAAAAUAUAUAAAGUCUUAAAUCGGAGCAGAAAAUAUUAAAUCCAUAGUCAUGGCAUUACAUGUUGCAUACACUGCUAAAAAAAACUUCCAUCCUUAGUAAUUUGUCUUUUUUAGGGCUGCGAUAUUUAAGCAUCUUGUCAGUAACCACAAGAUCAAAAUCCCAUGGCCAGGUUCAUUAAACUAGCUACAAAAAUCCAAAUGCAUACAUGAUUUAAUUCAGUACUAUGCAGGUGUAGUAAACACAAUUUUAGUUCACAGUCAAAAUCUACAGAGAUAUUGCUUUAAUCAUGCACUCAAUGCCUGUGUAUUUAAACAGGGGUGUUAUCUGUACUUGAUCCUAUCUUCCUUAAUAAGAUUCACUUGAUGAAAUGAGUACCCGCGUCGAUGAUCUAGAGAAGAAUAUAGCAGACCUGAUGACUCAGGCAGGAGUGGAAGAGAUUGAGGGGGAGAACAAGGUCAAAGAGGGAGAGGCUUCCUAGUAGAGAAUGCUGAGAUAGAAGAAACAUAAAAAAAAACUCUUCAGGAGCAGCAACUUUUUCUCUAUGGUGACUAAAAUAUUUUGUUUUGAUGUAAUGAUGAAAGAUUUAAAGUCAGUCCUAAAAUUUGACUGUAUGCUACCCGCAC